rnacentral:rRNA from 1 species
UACGUAGGGUGCAAGCGUUACUCGGAAUUACUGGGCGUAAAGCGCGCGCAGGCGGUCCUUUAAGUCUGAUGUGAAAGCCCACGGCUCAACCGUGGAGGGUCAUUGGAAACUGGGGGACUUGAGUACAGAAGAGGAAAGCGGAAUUCCACGUGUAGCGGUGAAAUGCGUAGAGAUGUGGAGGAACACCAGUGGCGAAGGCGGCUUUCUGGUCUGUAACUGACGCUGAGGCGCGAAAGCGUGGGGAGCAAACAGG